UUAGCACUGGCGGCGUGCUAUACAUGCAAGUCGAGCGAAUCUGAGGGAGCUUGCUCCCAAAGAUUAGCGGCGGACGGGUGAGUAACACGUGGGCAACCUGCCUGUAAGACUGGGAUAACUUCGGGAAACCGGAGCUAAUACCGGAUAAUCCUUUUCUACUCAUGUAGAAAAGCUGAAAGAUGGCUUCGGCUAUCACUUACAGAUGGGCCCGCGGCGCAUUAGCUAGUUGGUGAGGUAACGGCUCACCAAGGCGACGAUGCGUAGCCGACCUGAGAGGGUGAUCGGCCACACUGGGACUGAGACACGGCCCAGACUCCUACGGGAGGCAGCAGUAGGGAAUCUUCCGCAAUGGACGAAAGUCUGACGGAGCAACGCCGCGUGAGUGAUGAAGGUUUUCGGAUCGUAAAACUCUGUUGUUAGGGAAGAACAAGUACCGUUCGAAUAGGGCGGUACCUUGACGGUACCUAACCAGAAAGCCACGGCUAACUACGUGCCAGCAGCCGCGGUAAUACGUAGGUGGCAAGCGUUGUCCGGAAUUAUUGGGCGUAAAGCGCGCGCAGGUGGUUUCUUAAGUCUGAUGUGAAAGCCCCCGGCUCAACCGGGGAGGGUCAUUGGAAACUGGGAGACUUGAGUGCAGAAGAGGAAAGUGGAAUUCCAAGUGUAGCGGUGAAAUGCGUAGAGAUUUGGAGGAACACCAGUGGCGAAGGCGACUUUCUGGUCUGUAACUGACACUGAGGCGCGAAAGCGUGGGGAGCGAACAGGAUUAGAUACCCUGGUAGUCCACGCCGUAAACGAUGAGUGCUAAGUGUUAGAGGGUUUCCGCCCUUUAGUGCUGCAGCAAACGCAUUAAGCACUCCGCCUGGGGAGUACGGCCGCAAGGCUGAAACUCAAAGGAAUUGACGGGGGCCCGCACAAGCGGUGGAGCAUGUGGUUUAAUUCGAAGCAACGCGAAGAACCUUACCAGGUCUUGACAUCCUCUGACAAUCCUAGAGAUAGGACGUUCCCCUUCGGGGGACAGAGUGACAGGUGGUGCAUGGUUGUCGUCAGCUCGUGUCGUGAGAUGUUGGGUUAAGUCCCGCAACGAGCGCAACCCUUGAUCUUAGUUGCCAGCAUUCAGUUGGGCACUCUAAGGUGACUGCCGGUGACAAACCGGAGGAAGGUGGGGAUGACGUCAAAUCAUCAUGCCCCUUAUGACCUGGGCUACACACGUGCUACAAUGGAUGGUACAAAGGGCUGCAAGACCGCGAGGUUUAGCCAAUCCCAUAAAACCAUUCUCAGUUCGGAUUGCAGGCUGCAACUCGCCUGCAUGAAGCCGGAAUCGCUAGUAAUCGCGGAUCAGCAUGCCGCGGUGAAUACGUUCCCGGGCCUUGUACACACCGCCCGUCACACCACGAGAGUUUGUAACACCCGAAGUCGGUGGGGUAACCGCAAGGAGCCAGCCGCCUAAGUGACAGGAUUGCAAAAUA
rnacentral:rRNA from 1 species